rnacentral:lncRNA from 1 species
CUCACAAAAUGGCGGCGCCCAUAGAGGAGACCGCGGCCGCCUCCCCGGCCCCAUUUUGUGGGAGGCGAGAGAUCUGUCAACAUGGAAAACCUCUGCUGAGGAUGCAUUCGAGUUUGGAAACCCCACUUAAGGGAUGGAGCCUGGGGGAUCACAUUAAACGGAAAAUGCCAACGACUUCUACCACCUCUACGCGUUUUUAGUUUUUCAUUUUCUCGAAGGAAGCGCCAGAAGCCUGUGGAGUAAUUGUAACUAGAGGGAGAACGGAAAGCUGAGGUGACUGCUCCGGGGACUUGGCGCGGCGCCUUGAUGGUUUUGGUUGCUCUUCCACGCUCCCGGCAGCUGACCAGAAUCUCUUGGAGGGUCUCCUGGGCCACCUCGGCCGCGCCAGUCGUGCAGUGAGAAUUCUGUAGUUUUAAAAUGCCACAGUCCACGGCCCGGUCGGCACCGAUCGCCUGAAUCGUGGGCUUUGGGAACCUUGGAGGCUACUGCUCCAGGAACUCGCGGUCGGCCGGGAGCCGGGGAGCUUCGUUGCCGGGAGCGGGCGGUAUUCGCGGACUCCGGCGGCCCUGGCGGGUCGCGGCCGGGAUCCGAGCCGGGGAUGACGAUGCUGAUGGAGCUGAUGGGGCAAGAGUGGGAACGGAGGCACGUACACUGAAAUUUAAGUCAUCCAAGUUGGGACUUAAGAUAGCAGGUUUCCUGCCUCAUCUGCCAGAGACUUCUUGUAGUUCUUCAGAAUUUACUGGAUGUGCUAAAGAGCAUUUAAGUACACAUUUACAAAAUGAAGGAACUCCACUGCUGUG